ensembl:snRNA U2 U2 spliceosomal RNA
ACUGCUUCUUGGCCUUUUGGCUAAGAUGAAGUGAAGUGUCUGUUUUUAUCAGUUUAAUAUCUGAUACAUCUUCUAAUCAAGGACAAUAUAUUGAAUGGAUUUUUGGAGCAGAGGGUUGGAAUAAGAGCUUGCUCUGAUAUGGAAAAAGACAAAUGCUAGAUUAGGAGCAGUAACUGGAAACCAAACCUCCCCCACCCUAU